GACGAACGCUGGCUGCGUGCUUAACACAUGCAAGUCGAACGAUGAAGCCGGAGCUUGCUCUGGUGAAUUAGUGGCGAACGGGUGAGUAACACGUGAGUAACCUGCCCUUGACUCUGGGAUAACUGCGGGAAACUGUAGCUAAUACCGGAUACGACCCUCGGAGGCAUCUCCUGGGGGUGGAAAGAAUUUCGGUCAAGGAUGGACUCGCGGCCUAUCAGCUAGUUGGUGAGGGAAAGGCGCACCAAGGCGACGACGGGUAGCCGGCCUGAGAGGGUGACCGGCCACACUCGGACUGAGACACGGCACAGACUCCUACGGUGGGCAGCAGUGGGGAAUGUUGCACACUGGGCGCAAGCCUGAUGCAGCAGCGCCGCGUGAGGGAUGACGGCCUUCGGGUUGUAAACCUCUUUUAGCAGGGAAGAAGCGAAAGUGACGGUACCUGCAGAAAAAGCACCGGCUAACUACGUGCCAGCCGCCGCGGUAAAAC
rnacentral:rRNA from 1 species